GACGAACGCUGGCGGCGUGCCUAAUACAUGCAAGUUGAGCGCUGAAGGUUGGUACUUGUACCCACUGGAUGAGCAGCGAACGGGUGAGUAACGCGUGGGGAAUCUGCCUUUGAGCGGGGGACAACAUUUGGAAACGAAUGCUAAUACCGCAUAAAAACUUUAAACACAAGUUUUAAGUUUGAAAGAUGCAAUUGCAUCACUCAAAGAUGAUCCCGCGUUGUAUUAGCUAGUUGGUGAGGUAAAGGCUCACCAAGGCGAUGAUACAUAGCCGACCUGAGAGGGUGAGCGGCCAGAUUGGGACGGAGACACGGCCCAAACUCCUGAGGGAGGCAGCAGUAGGGAAUCUUCGGCAAUGGACGAAAGACUGACCGAGCAACGCCGCGUGAGUGAAGAAGGUUUUCGGAUCGUAAAACUCUGUUGGUAGAGAAGAACGUUGGUGAGAGUGGAAAGCUCAUAAAGUGACGGUAACUACCCAGAAAGGGACGGCUAACUACGUG
rnacentral:rRNA from 1 species